rnacentral:rRNA from 1 species
GGGUGAGUAACGCGUAUCCAACCUUCCCAUGACUCCGGUUCAGCCCGCCGAAAGGCGGAUUACUCCCGGAUGGUUUCCGAAGAGGGCCUCUGAUUUGGAAUAAAGAUUUAUCGGUCAUGGAUGGGGAUGCGUCUGAUUAGGCAGCAGGCGGGGUAACGGCCCACCUGGCCUACGAUCAGUAGGGGUUCUGAGAGGAAGGUCCCCCACACUGGAACUGAGACACGGUCCAGACUCCUACAGGAGGCAGCAGUGAGGAAUAUUGGUCAAUGGACGAGAGUCUGAACCAGCCAAGUAGCGUGCAGGAUGACGGCCCCAUGGGUUGUAAACUGCUUUUAUAUGAGGAUAAAUGACGUCACGUGUGAUGUUUUGCAGGUAUCAUAUGAAUAAGGACCGGCUAAUUCCGUGCCAGCAGCCGCGGUAAUACGGAAGGUCCGGGCGUUAUCCGGAUUUAUUGGGUUUAAAGGGAGCGCAGACGGUCAGUUAAGCGUGCAGUUAAAUGAUGUGGCUCAACCAUGUUUUGCUGCGCGAACUGGUUGACUUGAGUACACGGAACGUGGGUGGAAUUUGUGGUGUAGCGGUGAAAUGCUUAGAUAUCACGAAGAACUCCGAUUGCGAAGGCA